UGGGGAAUAUUGCACAAUGGGCGCAAGCCUGAUGCAGCCAUGCCGCGUGUGUGAAGAAGGCCUUCGGGUUGUAAAGCUACUUUCAGCGAGGAGGAAGGUGGUGAGCUUAAUACGCUCAUCAAUUGACGUUACUCGCAGAAGAAGCACCGGCUAACUCCGUGCCAGCAGCCGCGGUAAUACGGAGGGUGCAAGCGUUAAUCGGAAUUACUGGGCGUAAAGCGCACGCAGGCGGUUUGUUAAGUCAGAUGUGAAAUCCCCGGGCUCAACCUGGGAACUGCAUUUGAAACUGGCAAGCUAGAGUCUCGUAGAGGGGGGUUAGAAUUCCAGGUGUAGCGGUGAAAUUGCGUAGAGAUCUGGAGGAA
rnacentral:rRNA from 1 species